AUCGGUUUGUAGCACAGACCUUAUGAAAGCAGUUUUAGUAAAGCAGUUCUCAGUAUUAGUGAUAUCCGACAGAUACCUCUUCUUCCGCGAAUUCUCUUCUUUAGUGCCCCAUAAGUUUCCACUGAAUAGCAGACCUCACUCGCCACUAUGGCGGCCUAAAAAAUAAUGAAGGAAGUAUCUAUGUCUAAUAAAAUGACUGGUUUAGUAAAAUGGUUUGACGCUGGUAAAGGUUUUGGUUUUAUUUCCCCUGCUGACGGUAGCAAAGAUGUGUUUGUGCAUUUUUCUGCCAUUCAGGGGAAUGAUUAUAAAACGCUUGAUGAAGGCCAAAAGGUUGAGUUCACCAUCGAAAAUGGUGCUAAAGGCCCGUCAGCUGGCAACGUUACCGCGCUGUAAUCUGAGCUGGUAGGGUGAUAGAAACUUGCGACAGCGAUG
rnacentral:sRNA from 1 species